rnacentral:rRNA from 1 species
AUGAAGCUACAUAUGACGAACCAUGUGCUCCAAGGCGGCGCCUUCAGGAAGGAAACAACACCGGAGUGCCGCCAUCGCCCAAUCCAAAGACCAGAGUUUCCCCGGAGCCGCAUGACGGGCAAUGAGAGCCGCGACGACGCCUUCAAGAAGGGAACGAUCUUCGCCGCCGCCGGUCCGUCCGAAGAUAGAACAGAUUUUCACCUUGGCCAACAUUCAUCGCCACCGAACGCCACACCCCGGCAACCACGCCGCCUACACGGCCAUGGUGACCGGACAGCACCAAGGCACGGGUUCUGUCCAUGA